GCAAUUUUAUUUUUCAAGUUUUGCCGCCACUCUUCUCCGACUCUCCCUCUCUCGCUUUAUCCGCAUACACUCUCUGGCUAUCACCGAAAUCAGAAUUGGAAACUCAUCGCAAAUCGUUCAAUGACCUCGGCUGUUCCUGUCCAAGUAAUCGACGACGACGAAGAAGACGCAGAGUUUGAUUGGGAAGCAGCCGUGAGAGAGAUCGAUGUAAGUUGCCAGAAUGCGAAACCCUCUACUUCAUCCACGCCCCAGAAUUGUUCGUCUUCCUAUUUUGCCCCACCCGAUGGUACAACGUCGAUGCGAAAUUCGAAUAAUUUAUGUUCUGUUAAGAAAGGGCCUAGUACUUGUAAGCAAUCCACGCUCGAUAAAUUUAUAGGAAAGGAAAUCCCUAGGCCUCACUCUGAGGGUUUAGAAGUUGAGAAUCCAAAGGAGGUUUGGACUGAGGCUGAUGAGAGGGUACCGUUCGUUGCAGUUGAUGCCGAGGCAGCUAAAACUUGGAUUUACCCAGUUAACAUCCCAUAUCGUGACUAUCAGUUUGCCAUAACCAAGACAGCAUUAUUUUCAAAUACAUUAGUGGCGUUGCCGACAGGGCUAGGGAAAACACUUAUUGCUGCAGUUGUUAUGUAUAACUAUUUCAGAUGGUUUCCAGAUGGGAAAAUUGUCUUUGCUGCUCCUUCUCGACCCCUUGUAAUGCAACAAAUUGAAGCGUGCCAUAAUGUUGUGGGGAUACCACAAGAGUGGACAAUUGAUAUGACAGGUCAGGUUAGUCCUACAAGAAGAGCAUGCUUUUGGAAAGAGAAACGGGUUUUCUUUGUUACUCCGCAAGUGCUGGAGAAAGAUAUUCAAUCUGGGACAUGUUUGGUAAAGUAUCUGGUUUGCUUGGUGAUUGAUGAGGCUCAUCGUGCAUUGGGAAAUUAUUCUUAUUGCGUUGCAAUUCGUGAGUUGAUGGAUGUACCAGUGCAGCUGAGAAUAUUAGCCCUGACUGCAACGCCUGGAUCAAAGCAGCAGACUAUCCAGCUUGUUAUUGACAACUUGCGUAUAUCAACACUUGAGCACCGUAAUGAGAAUGACCAUGAUGUCAGCCCAUUUGUUCAUGAGAGAAAAAUAGAAUUGAUUGAGGUUCCCUUGGGGCGAGAUGCUGUUGAAAUAAAUAAGCGGCUGUUGGAAGUGAUACACCCGUAUGUAGUCAGGCUUUCAUUCUUUGGACUUCUCCAGAACAGAGACUAUCAAACUUUAAGCCCAUGUGAUUUACUAAAUUCAAGGGAUAAAUUUCGCCAAGCACCUUCUCAUCCUAAGAUCGGAGAAAUUGAGGCAUACUUUAGUGUACUUAUUACGCUCUAUCAUAUUCGAAAACUACUUGCAAGCCAUGGAAUAAGGCCAGCAUAUGAAAUGCUGGAAGAGAAAUUGAAACAAGGGUAUUUUGCAAGAUUGAUGAGCAAAAAUGAAGAUAUUAUCAAUGCAAAACUCUUAAUGGAACGAAGUUUGUCUCAUGGCGCUCCAAGUCCCAAACUGUCAAAAAUGAUAGAAGUACUGGUUGAUCAUUUCAAAGCAAAAGAUCCACAAAACUCGAGGGUUAUUAUUUUCUCAAACUUUAGAGGAAGUGUAAGGGAUAUAAUGAAUGCAUUAGCAAAUGUUGGACAUGUAGUCAAAGCAACUGAAUUUAUCGGCCAAAGCUCAGGGAAGGCAUUGAAAGGCCAAUCACAGAAGGUUCAGCAGGCUGUUCUGCAGAAAUUUCGGGCUGGUGGGUACAACGUCAUUGUUGCCACCUCAAUCGGAGAAGAGGGUUUGGAUAUUGUGGAAGUUGAUCUUGUAAUAUGUUUUGAUGCUAAUAUCUCACCUUUGAGAAUGAUUCAGCGAAUGGGGAGAACAGGGAGAAAGAAUGACGGCCGAGUCGUUGUCUUAGCUUGUGAAGGGUCGGAGUUAAAGGGCUAUGCGCGGAAGCAAGCAAACAGCACAGCUGUGAAGAAACACAUGAGACAUGGGGGGAUGAACAGCUUUAAUUUCCAUCCUAGUCCUAGAAUGAUUCCCCAUAUUCUCAAACCAGAGGUCCAAUAUGUUGAGCUGUCAAUCGAACAAUUUAUUCCUCGUGGAAAGAAAUUGAAAGAUGACGAUCAUUCUAUUCAGGCACCUGUUUUUGAUGAAAAACUAACUAUUGCAGAGAUUGAUUCAAUUGCCAAGUAUUUCCAUCCUAACAGUGAAAAUAACUGGCGACCUUCUCUUAUCGCUUUUCCUCGCUUCCAGGCAUCUCCAUCUAGAGUGCAUAAAGUGAAGCAUUCUUGUAGAACAGGCAUACUGACUGAAACAAUGCAAGAAUUGCUCGGACUAUCCCUUUCUAGAGGCAAAAGAACUUCAUUUGUUGAGGAUGAAGUCUCUUCAGAAAAUCAGAAGAAUAGUAGAGAAGACGCUGUUGCAGAUUCUACAUUUUCAGAUAAUUCUCCAGGCAUCAAAUCACAUAGACAAGCUACAGGUUCAGAAGUAUCACCUGUUCGAAGCUUACGGACUGAGAAGAAUAGUCUACCCAAUAUUGGUUGUCGCAUUAACCCUACUCACUCCUACCUUUUUGGUUCAGAUUUUGUAUCCGUUGAUGCUCUUGGAAAGGUCCUUAUCACAUCUGUCCCUUCAUUUCCUUUCAAAGAGUUACCACAUUCCAUUUGUAUUAGUGAUAGAACUGCAGUGUUGCUAAACCAUUCAAAUCAAAGUUCUAGUCUUUUAGAGAGUUUGACCAAGGGCCAUGAAGAAAUCUUUGUACAAGCUAUUGAUACUGCAGUCAUAGCAACUUCUCAGAGAAGAUGCAAAACUAAAGAAAGUUUGCCAAAAUCAAAAUUAUUGAACUGUAGUGACCAACAAGGCAGAAUGAUAGAUGAGAUUGAAACCGUCCCUGAGUCUCCAAUAUUAAGAAGAAAUGUUUCAAGUGAACGGGAGUGUGUUGCUGGAAUGCUUGAUGCUUCAGAAAUUAAGGCACCACCAGUACUGUCUGAUGAAUACGAUGGUGAUUUUAGAGAUGCUGAACUUAGUCCCAGGCUGACUAACAUGAUCAAGAAUGGUGUUCUUCCCGAGUCACCUAUUAGUCCUACUAAUGAAUACAACGAUGAUUUUAGAGAUGCUGAACUUAGUCCAAGGCAGACUAGCAUGAUCAAGAAUGGUGUUCUUCCAGUGUCUCCUAUCAGUCAACGGGGACUAUUAGAUGAUAAAAAAGGAAAUGAGUUUCCUAUUUCCACUGUUACCAUGGAAAUGCCAUCAAAGUCUUCAACUCCAAGGAAAAAGGAAGUGGACAAUUGGGAAACUAGAUACUGUGGGAGAACCAGCUUACUUUCUCAUGUAAACAGAGAAGUUCAAAGCCCUCUAUGUAAUAUGCACAAUAUUGCUGAUACCACUGGAUAUACCAACUCCGCUUCUCCAGUCACUGAGGGAUUACAAUCUCCCACGCCAAAUCUUACAAACAGUAGCAAUAGCAAGGACUGGCGUCUCAGUUCUGGUGGUCAGUCAGACUCUGUUAAAAGAGCACACAGAUUUAAAAGGUUGUGUAAAAUUGGAGAGCAUGGAAAAAAAAGGAACCCAGGCAUGAAUGAAAAUUCUGUCCUUGUUGCAAACCUUGCUGGUUCAUUUUAUAGGACCAGUCCUAACCAAAUGAAGCACAGGACAGGUAAAAGGAAGCCUGCUGAUAAUAUUCGGGCUUUCAUUGAGGAUGAAGCUGAGGUCUCAUCAGAUGCAGAAAUAUCUGAUGAAGAAGACGACGUGGACAGCUGCUCAUUUGAUGAUAGUUUUUUAGAUGACAGGAUUAAUCCUACUGCUGCGAGUACUCAGGCAGAAGCUGGUCGAGCUGACAUGAUGGCAAUAUACAGGCGUUCUUUGCUCAGCCAAUCACCAAUACAUGUGCAAUCACAUUCUUCUGCUAUUACUCCUGAUUCUGGGGUUUCCAUGAUCAGAACCAACAAAAGUGGAAGUUCGCCUGCUUGUUCUUUGCAGACACCUCAAACCGAUUGUGCGAAACAGUCCGACUCUACGAAUUUGAAAUCUUUUGGAAGGAACUCAGAAAGACUCAGUGGAGCCAUGACGAGUAAAAAUGCCGAAUAUCCUACAGAAAAUGGGGUAAUGGAGAACCGCAAGAGAAAACUGAGUUUUCACCAUUCAGGAAAUAUUCCUGCUGUAAAGUUACAGCACAAUUUAUUGUCAAUGUUGGAAGUGGAAGGUAGAGAAUCAAUUCCUCAGGAUCAGUCUGAUAAAACUGAUGAGAAUGGGGAAAUGUUAUGCGAUGACCAGUUUUAUGAGAAUAUUGAUUUUGAUGCUCUGGAGGCACAGGCAACCUUGCUUCUCAAUCAUAAGCCAGAGGAGGCUGUAAGGAGUCAAGACACAAAUCCCCAAUCAAAUCAACAGAAUUCAUUUCUUACUUGUUCUCCAUCAUUUGAUCUUGGAAUACUGUAGUUUUUCAUGGGAACUACUAAUGGUGCCCCGCUGGAGCAUGUCUGGAGGAUUGGCAAAGCUUCUCCAAUACUGAGUAAGUUAUGAGGUUGAGUUGCAAAUUUGAUUGAGGCUCAGAGCUACCAGCAAGCUUCAAGUGCAGGUUUGUGUUAGCAUAUGAUUGAGUCUAACCAUUGUCUUCUAGAGGAGUCGAACCAAGAGAGUUCUGGUGCAUGGUUUCUGAAUUGCAGAGGGCUUGAAUCUUCUUGAAAAGAGUGGAUGUUGGAUCUUCUGCUGCUCUUGGAACUUGAAGAACUGCUUCCAUUCCAUGAACCCUUGCUAUUAUUUUUCCUUAAAGAGGCAUUUCUGCUACUCUUUCGGCUUGUUGAAGAAAGCGAAUUUCUGC